GCCCUCCCAGCGUCAUACCUGGAGAGUUUCCAGUACUCUACUGGUCACGACUACAGGAGGGAGAGUCAAGCGGAGGCCUACCCAUUCCAUUCCUAGCUUGGGCAGUGGCUAGUGAGUGGAAAGCAAUCUGCUACAAGU